AGUCGAGCGAACAGAUGAGGAGCUUGCUCCUCUGACGUUAGCGGCGGACGGGUGAGUAACACGUGGGCAACCUGCCCUAUAGUUUGGGAUAACUCGCGGAAACGUGAGCUAAUACCGAAUAAUACAUUUCAUCUCCUGAUGGGAUGUUGAAAGAUGGUUUUUCGCUAUCGCUAUAGGAUGGGCCCGCGGCGCAUUAGCUAGUAGGUGAGGUAACGGCUCACCUAGGCAACGAUGCGUAGCCGACCUGAGAGGGUGAUCGGCCACACUGGGACUGAGACACGGCCCAGACUCCUACGGGAGGCAGCAGUAGGGAAUCUUCCACAAUGGACGAAAGUCUGAUGGAGCAACGCCGCGUGAGUGAAGAAGGUUUUCGGAUCGUAAAACUCUGUUGUAAGGGAAGAACAAGUACAGUAGUAACUGGCUGUACCUUGACGGUACCUUAUUAGAAAGCCACGGCUAACUACGUGCCAGCAGCCGCGGUAAUACGUAGGUGGCAAGCGUUGUCCGGAAUUAUUGGGCGUAAAGCGCGCGCAGGCGGUCCUUUAAGUCUGAUGUGAAAUCACGUGGCUCAACCACGUGCGGUCAUUGGAAACUGGAGGACUUGAGUGCAGAAGAGGAAAGUGGAAUUCCAAGUGUAGCGGUGA
rnacentral:rRNA from 1 species